rnacentral:lncRNA from 1 species
ACCUCAAGGCAUGGACCAUUCAUUGAAUGGUAAUAUUUGUUGAAUGAGUGAAAAAGGAUCCUUCCUCCCACAGAUUUCAAGUUAAGCUGUCAGUACCCAUGUAGCUGCUCUGGUACAAGUUAAGCUGUGAAAGCCUUCUCCCUCACGCAUACAACCUUAAGUGUCGCUCCCACAUACCGUUCAACGCGGCAGGGACACCACAGACCUUGUCACACAGGUAAAAUCCCCUCUCAAGAUCGUGUCCUCGACCACUCUUAUCCCUUAAUUAAACACACACAAACUGGACUAUGGGGGAGACUCCGAUCAUGCCUACAAACACAAACUAACCUGUCAGGGGCACAGCCGACUCCGCCUCCACUCGCUUACUUUCCAGCCCCCUCCGGGAGUCUGCCUGUCAGGGACACCCCUUCACCCCGCCUGGAGGGACUUCCCGGUAGGCUCAGGAUCCCCUCCCUGCUCUCCCCUCCCCCAUCUUCACCACUGCUCUCCCAGAGGUCCAGGUCCGGGAGAUGACAGUGGCUCCCAGAAAGCCCAGGAUUCAAUCGCUGAGAGAGUGCUUAGGCCCGAAUGCCGGCCCAAAUCGUUCUACUCACCGUGUCGGAGGCCUAGGCCGAGGCCGAGAGCGAUGAGAGUACAGGGAAGUGGGGAAGAGGGGGUGGCCGCCAGGCUCCUCCGCUUCCCUGGGUCCACCGCGGAUCCCUCCCGCUUGUCAGGAGGCGGCCAGCGGGUAAGCUGACUGGCGGAAAUGCGAGAGAGGAGAAGGGAAACGUGGAGGGCUAAAGGGGGCAAACUGAGGGGAGGCGGGUCCCGCAACCGAGACUGGGAUCGUCUCCCCUCCGCAAAGCGAACCCAAAAUGGCGGCGGCAGCGGCGGCAGCGGAGUGGCCGCGGCAGCUCUUCC